UAAACUUUCACCAAAGCUUA
rnacentral:siRNA from 1 species